AACAGACAAAUCCAAGGCUGUGAGGUGACUGAGUGUCUGUGUUUGGAGUCCACAAAACCAAAAUCCACGUCGAACAUCGUGCAUUCUGUAUACAGUGACUUUUUGGAUAACCUGUGUGUGUCUGUCCGUUGUGCGUGAGCCCCUAGCCCUGUUUUCCUGUGAAUAUACCUUGAACGGCAGCCACUCUGCUCCCGUUACCCACACGUUUGGAGCAGGGGGCGGCCCUCUCGAGGUAAUUUAUUUUACGCAUUUACUGUUUACUGAGCAAAUGUCUGACUGUGCACUCGGGUGUACUCAGCAGCGCUGUCGACCGCAGUCCCUACGUUUGCCAGAUACUGUGCUCCAAGUAGAGGUUUUACUCUACCCAUCACUGCAAUUUGCACAUUGCUCCGUGGACACUCGGAGGCCUGUGUUCUGUUCCCUGAAAGCGGAAACGUGCUCUGAGCCUGUCUGCCUCCCUCGGCUGCUCCUGGCCCUUGGUGUCAGCCCCCGGGGGUGUCCACAACCACACGGGACAGAAGGCCAAGGGUGGAACCUCAGACAGAAGCCGAAUUGGAUCUUCUUCAGUGACCAGCUCGGACUGGCUGUGGCCCAGACGCCGGCCCUGCCCAGAAGUGCCAGGAGGGUUUGGCGGCCACCACAGUGCCAUAGGGCUUCCCUCCCUCUGCUGAGGUCCAGGGCAUGCGAGCGAGCACGCCCGUGUGUGGCAGAAGUGGGCAGGAGUGCGCUGGCAGCCCUCAGAUGCCUUUCCUUCAAUCUUUUUUUUUUUUUUUUUUUUAAAUCCCAACAACUCCCUGAAGUGUCUCAAAAGAGAUCAAGUUUUACCAAAAUGAACCCUGCUUCAGUUAACUGGUCAAAUGGAUGUAUUCUGGCCCUCUCAAGUUUCCUUCUCCAACAGAGUGGGGAACUGGUCCACGCGUUACCUGCUGGGUUCACUGCAGCGUCCCACCCGAAAGGCACGAGAAGAAGAAAACGCAGCGGGCAGAGCUGGGCUUGAGUCCAGCCGUCAGUCUGGCCCCUGCUACACGAGGCUACCCUGCACGACGAAAGCUGGAAAUAGGAAUUGAAGGGCUCGUGAGGGGGCCUGGGAGAUUCGAUGGAGUCUGGUUUUCCAGGCGAGAGGGGCUGGUCGAGGGUUUGGUGCUACAGUCGGAAGAUUUGCAAAUGCUAACACAUUCCUGUGUGAGGCACAUCACCCUUUGUCAGUUAUUGUGAAUAUGUGUAUUUUAAGCAAUAAGAUUCAGCUGGUCAGACUUUUCUGGGCAGUCUCGGUGACGCAUUUCCCGUGCUGUGAUUGUUCUGAAGACAGAGUGGCUCUUAACCACUGUGAGAAGCCCAAAUAAAAUCCAUCCCCAAAACUCGACUGCUCUUUUU
rnacentral:lncRNA from 1 species